ensembl:lncRNA
AUGAUUCUGACUUAUCAUGUCACUGAGCAGAGUUGGGUGAAGCCAAAACUCAAACUGCUGGCAAGGAAGAGAACGAAAAAAAAAAAAAAAAAAAUGACAGGGAGGGGCAAUCCGGAGGGGGAGGAAAUAAAAAGAGAGAGAGGGAAAGACAAGCGUCAUUUAGGAACGGAGGUAGAGCGAAAGAAGGAACUCCAGGGUCUGAAACCAACCAUACAGCACAGUAUUUUUCUAUCUUUUCUUUUCCCCAGAGGAGAUUCUUGUCCUGUCAUUUUAUUGACAGACGCGCUAUUACAGGCUCUUUUCCCAGAAGUUGACCGAAGAAACCCAAGCGCUGCUAUUUCUUCCCUCCCAAGUCCGGUGGCUCCCCUGCUAAUGGACUGCUUUUCUCUGAGCUUCCACCCUGGAGAGAGCCCCCAGGUCUAGUCUGUGAACCCAGCUAGGAAACAUUGCUAGCAAAAAUGACUGAAGAGCCCAUAAAGGAGAUCCUGGGAACCCCAACGUCUUCCAAGCCCAUGACAAUGGAGAAGAGCCCCAACAGUGAAGCGGUGGUCACCACGGUCCCUUUGGUCAGUGAGAUCCAGCUGACGGCUGCUACCGGGGGUGCUGAGCUCUCCUGUUACCGCUGCAUCAUCCCCUUCGCCGUGGUGGUCCUCAUCGCGGGGAUAGUGGUCACUGCUGUGGCUUACAGCUUCAAUUCCCACGGCUCCAUCAUUUCCAUCCUGGGUCUGGUCCUCCUGUCAUCUGGACUUUUUUUGUUAGCCUCCAGUGCCUUGUGCUGGAAGGUGAGGCAGAGGAGCAAGAAAGCCAAGAGACGGGAGAGUCAGACAGCUCUUGUGGCAAAUCAGAGAAGCUUGUUUGCCUAGGACUGAAUGAGACCACAUGGGAUAUGUGGCCUGAAAACCUUCCUCUUGCUGUGUCAUCCAAUUCACCCAGAACUAGAGUGGGAGAGGAUGAACGGUGCAUUGCAGCAGACCAGAGGGUUGGGGCGAAUUGGUUGUGGGAGGGCAGAGGGGGUUCUGUUCGAUGAAGAACCUACUUGUGUCUUCCUUAAUGACAAACUUAACUCUAAGGGCUAUUUCUAAGACUGAAAAAUCAGCUUUUUCUCUGUAUUAGACAUUUGAGGGGUCAUGGGAGGUGAACGGCGUUAGACAACGUUUGGUUCACCUUGGAAAGUAGCCAAGGAAAGAUGAGAAAAUAGUCAGAUAGUUCUGGCACACCAGCGACCUGCCUCAAAAAAAAAAAAAAUACAAAAACCCACACUUUUAAGAAGUUGUAUCAUAAAAAAAUAUUCUGCCAAGAGUCUAAAUCACCUCGGACUUUGCAUCCUUCUAUGAAAUUCUGUGAGAAUUUUUUCUAAUAAGUUGAUUCUCUGGCAUCUUUUUUUUUUUCAAUAACUCAUCACUGGUGGUACUUUUUCUUAAGGAAUAAACUAAUUUUUUUAUGUUUUAACAUUGGACAGUUUUUGCUGAGUCAGAAGCUAAAAGGUAAAAGAUGUAGCUACUAAAUGACAUGAGGGGUUAAAUUAAUAUUAAAAUAAUCCAACCUAGCACUUUUGAUGAUUUUUAUAUAAAGUUUAAUGUACAUUUCAUUCAAAAUAAUAAAUACUUAUUGCUGCUGAAAUUUCUUAAAUGCUAGUUGCUGUUACAGUUAUGUUUACUGCAGUUCCAAAUUGCCCAUCUUCCCUUGCCUCACUGGCAAUGUCUCAAAUGUAUUUCUCUCGAAUGGGCAUGUUGUUUCUCCCUAACUUAUCUAGAAGAUUUUUUAUUUUUUAUUGUAUCAUUCUUUCAUGACUUGUGACGAAUAAUAUUAAUUAUGUUCACUACGUUCUAAACAAUUUCUAUGCCAUUAGCGAUUAGGAAAUCAAUGCCUGGAGUCAGGAAUUUUAUAAUGUGUUAUUAAAUGUGUGUUAUCGAUUCAAUCAGUUGGUUAAAUAUUUGCUUCACCUAUUUUUGAACAUCAACUAUAUGCCAGGCAUUGUGUAGAUUCUUAGGCUGCUAAACUGAGUGAGUUCUAAUACAAUGCAAAUAAGAUCACUGCUUGACUUCUGUGGAUAGUGAGCUAUUCUACACCCAGCUAGGACUCUACCCCAGAAGUCCCACCAGGGAUAUCCCUAGUCCAUGUAGUUUAAACCACAUGAAACAAAUAUGGGAACAUAGUGAGGCAUGAAGUCUUCCUCAAACCUUGGAAAUGCAAAGCAAAACAAAACAAACCUCACGUAGCACUUUGAAGAGAGACUGUUGCCUGGUGCCCAAGUAGUUUUGUUAAGGAGAGAAGCCUUGAUGGCCUCGCUUGUCCUGGCUUUGAAGGUCAGAUGGCGCAAGCCUGGAGUUGUUCACUAUAGUAGAGUACACCACAAUUAUCUUAAAUGCGUGCACAUCCACACUCCUCUGGGCCAAAUGCAAGUAUGUAGCGUCGGGUUGGUUUUAAUUGGAGGGAGUCUGUGCUUUGACAUGCCUCUUUUCUGCUCAGAAUAGUCAAAGGCUCCCCACUGCUGAUGAAGAAAUUUCUUAGGCAAGUGUUCAAGGUUCUCCACUAUCCGAUCCAAACAGAUGUAUCCAGCUUUCACUUCACUCCAGCCGAAAACUCAUGAGUAAGCCAGAUCAGACUAUUCGCCAUUCUGAAUCAGACUGUGGUUUCCUGCUUCCAUGUAUGUUCAACUUCUGUUCUCCCUCCUCCGUAAUGCCAUCCUGUCCCUCUCUGUCUCAACGUCUCCAAAUCCUGCUUCUCAUUAGAGCCCCAGCCUAAAUGCAACCCCUUCCUAAAAAGCCUUCCCUUUUAUCUCAAAAUAAUUACUCCUUUGAAGUCUUUACUUAUUUAUUCUCUGACGGCACCUUUCAUUUUCUACCAUGUUGGUGGCAUAAGUGUUUUAUCCUCUUCCGAAUCUCCUUGGAAGAGAUGAUGUCUUUUUUUUUUUAACCCUCACGUAAUGCCAAAUAAAACAUCUUGUACAGAGCAGGUACUCAAUAAAUGUUUGCUAAAUGAACUAAAGAAUGAAAAAUCAGAAAGUGAGUGUUUUAUCUAGAAUCACAGUCCAUUUAUUUUACUCUCUUAAAAUAUUUUAGUUCUCAACUCUCCCCGAAUAGGUCAUCCUACUCCGCCCUGCCUCAACUGUAAGCAACAGGUGUAGGUGAGUAUUCACUACUUUCGUACUUCUCUAGCCACACCUGCCCUUCAAAAUGCUUGAUUAAGUAAACUCAUGAAUGAUUUCAGGCCACCAGGGGGCCUCAUGCUGCUACCUGAAUCCCAAAGGAAACACUGUGGAAUGACAAAUUAUAACAACUGAAAUGGAAUCAUAUCUGGACAUAGCAAUAUCUCUCCUAAAUGUGAGGAGUUAGGGAAGCUUCUCCACUGAGCCCACUACUACUCUCCUCCCUAAGCCACUUCACAAUGGCUACACCUGGGUCCUCUAGUCAAUAGAAGAGCCCCGUCUGGGAGCCUUUUAGUCCCAUUAAAGGAUACACACCUCUGCAAAGGCACGAAGAUUGUACUGUGAAUUCUAACUCCCAUGAGGGUGAACUAUGAUAUCACAAUUAUUUCAUAACAUAUGUCUUUACUGGGCAAGGUUUGUCUUUUCAAAUGGUUUUGUUAUAUAGUGAUAAGCAGAUAUGGAAUGCAUGCAUAAGCAUGAUGCAGGUACAUAUGUAUUAAAAAAAUAACCUGGCCCCAUCCUGGAGCAUCGGAAACCAGCUGUAUCACCCAGCGGGAUAACCUGAAACCCCACACAACCUGGGUCACACAAGAACAACUUUUGACCUCAUCCUGUGCAGGUCUCUACCUACGUGAGAACCACAGCCACCCAGGUGACCCUGUGCUUCCCACCUCACUGUCUUGGUGAAUCUUGGGAAUCUUGCCUAGAGAAGAUGAUCAAGGCCAUAUGGAUCAUGCAGGUGGCUGAAGCCCAGGAGAGCCAGAUCACAAAUCCUCAAACCUACCUCUUUGUAUCAUCACCACUCAUAAAAGGGGGUGGGGGGAGAUCUCCUAGGAAGUAUUAUGGUUUUGAACGCAGAAGAUUUGAUUAUAAAUAUCCCAGUUCUCCUGUUAAACUAAUCAGAUGACCUUGAGCAGUUAAGCCUCAUCUUUAA